ACCGUAAGAAUAAGGAUCGGCUAACUCCGUGCCAGCAGCCGCGGUAAUACGGAGGAUCCAAGCGUUAUCCGGAUUCAUUGGGUUUAAAGGGUCCGUAGGCGGAUUUUUAAGUCAGUGGUGAAAGCCUCCAGCUCAACUGUCGAACUGCCAUUGAUACUGGAAAUCUUGAGUGUGCGUGAAGUAGGCGGAAUAAGUCAUGUAGCGGUGAAAUGCAUAGAUAUGACUUAGAACACCGAUUGCGAAGGCAGCUUACUAACACGUACUGACGCUGAGGGACGAAAGCGUGGGGAGCGAACAGGAUCAGAUACCCUGGUAGUCCACGCCGUAAACGAUGAUAACUCGCUGUUGGCGAUACACUGUCAGCGGCCAAGCGAAAGCGUUAAGUUAUCCACCUGGGGAGUACGCCGGCAACGGUGAAACUCAAAGGAAUUGACGGGG
rnacentral:rRNA from 1 species